AAGAGAUGGCGACCGGCGCACGGGUGAGUAACACGUAUCCAACCUGCCGAUAACUCCGGAAUAGCCUUUCGAAAGAAAGAUUAAUACCGGAUGGCAUACGAAUAUCGCAUGAUAUUUUUAUUAAAGAAUUUCGGUUAUCGAUGGGAUGCGUUCCAUUAGUUUGUUGGCGGGGUAACGGCCCACCAAGACUACGAUGGAUAGGGGUUCUGAGAGGAAGGUCCCCCACAUUGGAACUGAGACACGGUCCAA
rnacentral:rRNA from 1 species